GCGAGCAUUAGGCAGUCAAACACUGCAUAUCUCUUAAGGAAAAGCUACUUAGAAUUGCCCUUUAGAGAGUGGUAAAUGUAACCUUUGUGUUUAUCAUACUGUGGCAUAGUAGGGUGGACUCUGACUACUGUUUCCCUCUCUUGUUGCAGGUGUGCAUUAUACUGCUGCUGUCUUGUCAGAUGCCGUUUUGUUUGUUAUGCACUACUUUUAUAACGUAUAGUGAUUUGGGAUGUGUUGGUUUUAUGUAGAUCUUUUGAUUGUUU